CCAAUAGCGUAUAUUAAAGUUGUUGCAGUUAAAAAGCUCGUAGUUGAAUUUCGGGAUUAGUACGCUGGUCGUGCCUUUGGUAUGUACUGGUGUUACUGAUUCCUACCUUCUGACGAACCGUCAUGUCAUUAAUUUGGUGUGGCGGGAAAUCAGGACUGUUACUUUGAAAAAAUUAGAGUGUUUAAAGCAGGCUCGCGCUUGAGUACAUUAGCAUGGAAUAAUGAAAUAGGACGUUCGAUCCUAUUUUGUUGGUUUCUAGGAUUGACGUAAUGAUUAAUAGGGAUAGUUGGGGGCAUUAGUAUUCAAUUGUCAGAGGUGAAAUUCUUGGAUUUAUUGAAGACUAACUACUGCGAAAGCAUUUGCCAAGGAUGUUUUCAUUAAUCAAGAACGAAAGUUAGGGGAUCGAAGACGAUCAGAUACCGUCGUAGUCUUAACCAUAAACUAUGCCGACUAGGGAUCGGAUGAUGUUAAUUUUUUAAUGACUCAUUCGGCGCCUUACG
rnacentral:rRNA from 1 species